rnacentral:rRNA from 1 species
UACGUAGGGUGCAAGCGUUGUCCGGAAUUACUGGGCGUAAAGGGCGCGUAGGCGGCCUGCUAAGUCGAACGUGAAAUCCCCGGGCUCAACCCGGGAACUGCGUCCGAUACUGGAAGGCUUGAAUCCGGGAGAGGGAUGUGGAAUUCCAGGUGUAGCGGUGAAAUGCGUAGAUAUCUGGAGGAACACCGGUGGCGAAGGCGACAUCCUGGACCGGUAUUGACGCUGAGGCGCGAAAGCCAGGGGAGCAAACGGG